CCCAAUCCUAUGUAAGGUGCUUUCGAAGAGUCGAGUUGUUUGGGAAUGCAGCUCUAAGUGGGUGGUAAAUUCCAUCUAAAGCUAAAUAUUGGCGAGAGACCGAUAGCGAACAAGUACAGUGAUGGAAAGAUGAAAAGAACUUUGAAAAGAGAGUGAAAAAGUACGUGAAAUUGUUGAAAGGGAAGGGUUUGAGAUCAGACUCGAUAUUUUGUGAGCCUUGCCUUCGUGGCGGGGUGACCCGCAGCUUAUCGGGCCAGCAUCGGUUUGGGCGGUAGGAUAAUGGCGUAGGAAUGUGACUUUGCUUCGGUGAAGUGUUAUAGCCUGCGUUGAUGCUGCCUGCCUAGACCGAGGACUGCGAUUUUAUCAAGGAUGCUGGCAUAAUGAUCCCAAACCGC
rnacentral:rRNA from 1 species